rnacentral:rRNA from 1 species
AGCGAACGCUGGCGGCAGGCCUAACACAUGCAAGUCGAACGAACCUUUCGGGGUUAGUGGCGGACGGGUGAGUAACACGUGGGAACGUGCCUUUAGGUUCGGAAUAACUCAGGGAAACUUGUGCUAAUACCGAAUGUGCCCUUCGGGGGAAAGAUCUAUCGCCUUUAGAGCGGCCCGCGUCUGAUUAGCUAGUUGGUUGAGGUAAUGGCUCACCAAGGCGACGAUCAGUAGCUGGUCUGAGAGGAUGAUCAGCCACAUUGGGACUGAGACACGGCCCAAACUCCUACGGGAGGCAGCAGUGGGGAAUCUUGCGCAAUGGGCGAAAGCCUGACGCAGCCAUGCCGCGUGAAUGAUGAAGGUCUUAGGAUUGUAAAAUUCUUUCACCGGGGACGAUAAUGACGGUACCCGGAGAAGAAACCCCGGCUAACUUCGU